rnacentral:rRNA from 1 species
GUCGAGAAUAAUUCACAAUGGACGAAAGUCUGAUGGUGCAACGCCGCGUGGAGGAUGAAGGUCUUCGGAUUGUAAACUCCUGUCAUCGGGGAGUAAGACCUGGCGGUAAAUAGCCGACAGGGUUGAUAGUACCCGAAGAGGAAGGGACGGCUAACUUCGUGCCAGCAGCCGCGGUAAUACGAAGGUCCCAAGCGUUGUUCGGAAUCACUGGGCGUAAAGGGAGCGUAGGCGUCUGGGUAAGUCAGAUGUGAAAUCCCGGGGCUCAACACCGGAUGUGGAUGCGAUACUGCCAGGCUUGAGUGGUGGAGAGGUAGCUGGAAUUCUCGGUGUAGCAGUGAAAUGCGUGGAUAUCGAGAGGAACACUCGUGGCGAAGGCGAGCUACUGGACAACAUCUGACGCUGAGGCUCGAAGGCCAGGGGAGCAAAAGGGAUUAGAUACCCUAGUAGUCC